CCUACUGUCAGUUCAACGAACGAUGUAGAAGUUAGGGAGUGACGAAUUUGAAAUCCAAGGUACCUUUUGUUAUCGGGUCCUCAAACCAAUACCCCUGGUCCAGCUAUUAAUUCGAAUGUGGAAAGUUCCGCAUAUAAUUCGGAUAUCAGCCAUCUAGAACAUCCCUCAAAAGUCUCUCAAACAGACUAAGACGUGUAUCCAGAACAAAGAAUAUACAGAUUUGAGUGCGAGUUUCUUUCUAUUUGAAGGGACAAACAUGCUUGGUUUACAAAAUGCAUCCCCUGAGCUUUGGCAAUGCAGGAAGAUAAAGUUUUUAAGGAUUUAGUUUCUUCAGACACCUCAAGGCGCCCUGUUCAUGUUAUUUUUGCUCAAUGUGCAACAUCCAAGGUGCCAAUUGUUACUGAUAUCAGGCUUAAAGCGAAG